rnacentral:lncRNA from 1 species
UAUAAAAGCUUGGCUUAGGAUUUGACCCCAAGGAGAGGUGGCAUUCUCUCCUUCCUCAGUGCCCUAGGAGCCACCACCUGCCCCUCCCUUCAGGCCAGCUCAGGGUUCAGCUGCCGAGGAGGAGAAGGAGGUGGCGGGCUCUGGUUGUGCAUGCUUGUGGGGGUCUCUUCUUUGGCCACCUGGUGGUCCUGUCUUUUCAGCCAUCGGGGAAGAUGGCAUUCUG